UAGGCCUGUUGGAUCCUCCCCAGGUCUGGGACCCCACGGUGGCCUCACCCUGAGGAAGGCAGAGGAGAGCAUGCCUUCACACCCACGGCCCUCUCCCCAGCUGUUUCUGCUCCAGCCACACAGCCCCUCUUAUCACCUCUGGGCUCCCUAGAGCAUUCUUUCUGCAGGGAGUCAGUCUUCGUCAUUCCUUUUGAGACUGAUCAAAGGUCUCCUGGGUCUACUGGGAAGAGUUUGCGCCUUCAUAUCCUUCUUCCUUACCCUGCUUUAUUUUUCUUGAAAGCAUAGGCCACCCAGUUAAAGGCUACAUUUGUGAUUUGUGUGUCAGCUUAUGAUGGUCUGUCCUGACUGGUAAAGCACCUCCUCCAUCCUCCAUGGAAAGAACUUUGAGGGUCCUCCCUGUCCCCCGCACACACCUUUCUGGCCCCAGUGCACAGAGAGAAUUUGGGAAGGAUUAAGAGAAGCUCUUUAGCACUGACCUCUGAAGUGGGAAUGUAGGAGAGGAGCUUCAUUCCCCAGAUGGCGGGGAGGGACCCUCACAGGCCUUCAAAAGGUGGGGUUUCUGGGAGAGGCAGGGCCAGAGGUUUCUGGAAAGACUGGCUAGACAUCCAGCCCAUGGACAGUGUUUCCAGAGGUGAGGUGUUUGGUGAGCAUGGCCUAUGUCAACCUAUGACUGCAGCUGUAACUGACCUGGGCUGUGGCUACUGGGGUAGGGCUCCUGGCUAUCCCCUUUUUGCAAACCUGGCUGGUUGGAAUGGCCCCUCUGGACCUGGAGAAGCUGCAUGGGGACUGUGGAGUAAUGUAAUGUGAGAUGGGUUUGUCUCCAAGGCCUGAGUCAGAAGUGUGGAGGGCAGGCUAUAACCCUCUCUGUUACUCCCUGAUGCAUAGAACAAUAGUUUUCAGGCUGUGCCUAACCUUG
rnacentral:lncRNA from 1 species